rnacentral:sRNA from 1 species
AUUCUCCUUUUCAUUGUUUAGCCUUCUACAACAGAUACCAGAUCCAAACUUUAUACUACUGAAAUAUCUCAUUUGUCUAUUAGUAAUAAUAAAAGACUCACCCAUGAAUAAGCUGGAUACUAAAAGGCUAUCGAUCCGCCUUGCUCCACAUGUCUUAUGGGGUUGGACUUCUAGUGACUCAUUAUUUGGGAAAGUUGUCUCAAGAAAGAUAUCUCUUAUGGAAAUUAUGAUUGACAACUACAUUCAAAUAUUUGAAAAUGAUAAUAGAUAUUGUAUCCAUAAUGAGAAAAGGUCUGCUGUAAUAAAUAAAUCUGCAGAUAUCAUAAAUUCUGAUGUCAAAUCAACUAUUAUGAACAAAAUCAUAGGUGGACUCAAUAGAAAAACCUGUUACAAUAAUGAAAUUUAAAUAUUUCAUAUGCAGCUCUGCAGGAAAGUCCUACAGGAGAAAACAGAACUCCUACCACAUAUAAGUGGUAGAGGAUGACGGGAAGAUGUUCUAAGGUCAUUCUAUUUUCAUGUUCCUGUCUACAGCCCACUAAAUUGUAGCAGAAGAUAUUGUUACAAGAUCCUACUUCUGCUUUAUAUUUCCCUAUAUUAGCUACAAAUAAUUUUCCCUCAUUAAACUUAUUUUAUUCUCCCUAUUAUAUAUUGUUUGCUAUUAUAAUAAAUGUUAUUAAAUUGUUUUAUU